UCUUUUUCUACAGUUCGUUCGUCCAACUCCGUGCUUAAGCUUCUGUGCAGGCAGCCCAGCCGGCAGCAGCCAGUGUAUAGCAUCCAGGGGAGCACAGCCACAGGCAAGAGGAAAGGUGUCAAGUAAAGCAAGCGUGCUCCUGGUGGUGUGAUGGAUAGCACGAGUUAUAUACUCUGGCUGCGCAUGGAGAGGAUUCCAUCAUGCCGAGGCCUCUUGCAUGGAUUCCCUUGUUCCUGACGGACGGCUGCUCUCAAGUCGGAGGGUAGUGGGAACGGAACUCGUAAAGGUUUACGACUGCUACUUGCUGAUUUUGUUUUAUUUACAUGGUGGCUGCUUCCAGUCCUUUGACUGGCUAGCUAACUAAAACACCGAAUCUUUGUGAUCUCCCUCCGGCGCACCAAACGGCAUUUGUGGACGUAUCACAGGUACGGCGAGACGAUGAUGAUUCGCCUUGUUGCUUUCUCGCUUUUUUCAAAAGCCUGAUCCAAGGAAGGGGCGGUGAGUGGUGUGAGGUGAAUUUUUCUUCCCCCGCCCCCCUUCUUUCAACCAGGGGUAUCAGGCUGUAUUUGGAGCAACAAGCAAGGUGAAUCUCAUUGAUUUCUCAGGUUUUCUAUUACUUUUCAAACUUUGGGAGCAACAAACAGGGGCCUCUGCUUCCAUAAUGCGGAGUGAAGAAAAUGGCACAUCAGCUCUUUCCUGCGCUUUGGGAGGCAAACGGAGCUCGCUCGAAAAGCCCGUCCGGGUGUAAGCGGGUGAUGGAAUGAGCAGCUCGGAGUUGUUUUAUCCCCUAGAGCUCUGGGGAAAGAACAAGAACAUCUCGGGGCCUGUGAAGGCUAAAUGAUAGCAAUUAUGCGAAAAGAGAAAACUCCUCGCACUCCAACACCAGGUGUGUUAGAGAGCAGCAUCAAAGGCCACCACUUGAGUGUGUUUCCUCCGAAUGGAACCAGAGAGGCCAAGAAGCUCCAUAAAAUCAUCGUCCACCACCAUCACCACCACCACCACCAGUGGCAAAGAAGAAGAAUAGAAUCGCCCAAGAGACGAUUAAAAUACGAAUAUAAUGGAUGUCAUCCUUGAGUUCGUCACCUUCACGUGUCAGCCCUCUUGGCUUUCAUGUGUGAGCCACACGGGGAAUAACCACCACUGGAUCUCCAGUCGUGGCUUUUGGAGACCGCCAUUGCAGAUAUGCAUGAGAAAACCAACAAAAUCCCCAGAGAGAAUUAAUUGAUUCUAUGUCAUCCUUCUACACCUCUUUUUCUUUACAGUUUUCUCUUUUCAUCUUUGUGCAUGUAGCUCUGUAAGAAAUUGGGUUAAG